GCCGUCGUAGCUCAGCAGGUAGAGCGUGUGACUGUUAAUCACAAGGUCCUCGGUUCAAAUCCGUGCGACGGCGCCA
rnacentral:tRNA from 1 species